CACGUGCAUUUAAUUUUGGGUACGUGCAAUAGUUGAUGUUUAUUAAUGUUUGUAAGUUUGUGUUAUACAUUCGGGUGCAACAUGGAUCCCGAGGGAGAGACCGGGAGAAAUUGGGAGAGACAGGGAGAGCCAGAAAGAAUACCAGUUUUUAUCGAGUGCUAUGCCAGUAAGGUCGUUAACAGGAAGAAGACGUAUAUCGACAGCGAAGGACAUAUCCGAAGGGAUUUCCCCGAUGAUUAUCUACCUGCAUGUUUACUCCAUCCCAGACAUGGCCAUCAUGACAAUUUCCUCGAGUAAUACGCUGUGACUUAAACAUUCCAUGGAGGUGACAUGGCUGGUCGCUAUAAGGGGAUCAUCCCAUUUGGAAGCGUGGACGUACAAAGAACCCUUCACCCCUGACUUUCGUCGAUAUGCAAUUUCGUCGCCGAAGAGAAUGAGCCGCACUUGUUCGUAGUAUCGCCGAUGCACCUGUGGCUUGUGCGUCUCGCGCCGACGUUGGCCGAGCCCGAACGAAGGCCACCGAACGCGACGCCUAUAUAAAAGUGGACAGCGGCGCGUCGCAAUCAUUCGUAGUACGAACUACGUGCACGCUCGGAUAUCAGCGAACGAUACAACGAGUUCUCUAAGUGACCGUUACAAGAUAAUUCUCGUGCAAAAGUGUCAAUCACUGGAUUGUGUUCGAAAGUAUAGCAACCAUGUACACGAACCCGUUCAACCGCAAACACAGCACCAUCCGCCAGAUGCUGGACCGGCUUUUGGACCCGACCAAGAAGUCGAUUAGAAGAUCAGAAAGUGUGUCGAGCUCCGGCAGCGACAGUUCGAAGGGUAGCAACGGCUCUUUGAACAAAUACUCUCACAAUAACAAGAUGUUGCAAUGGGGCAGAAAGUGAAGAACGGAAGGAAAAGGCUGCAGCUUUAUUCUUUUCUUCCUGGGUUUCUUCACUUAAUCAUCCUUACCUGUUUAACAAUGGGAAGCGAACCGAUAAGGGAACAGAGCCUCGCACAACAGGCCUUCCAGACGGAGUCCGCCGCUGGUCAGCCAAGAUGGACAUCGUGGAGACACGAAGGGAUCAUCGAAGCUGUAUGCAUGCCACCCUUUCAUCAGAGAGAGGAAGUACUAUUCCCGGCGCGGGCUCUCCUUAACGGACUUCAGUUGUGCCAACCAUGAAGUCCAACUGGAACGUCAACUUCUAUGGACAUCAGCUUUCAUAUGUACAUAUGUACAUUGUACUGUUGUUUCGAUUAAGUCACAUUGUGCCAUAAUCGCUUGUUAAGUAGUCUGUACCUACUUCAGAAUGUGUAUUCAGCUUAUAUGCAUGUAUGUAUAUGGUUUUUAGAGCCAUUGAGUCACUAGUCAAUAGACAGUAUUAAAGAUACUAGAACAUUGUAAUUCUAUGGAUUUUUAAUUUAUUUUCUUUUGUAUAAAAAUUUGCUUGGAAUUAAACAUGUUUAUUUCCAAAUUA